AUCCAGCUGAUUAGUCCCAAACAGGAAGAAACAUGCGUCCUGGAU
rfam:Schistosoma mansoni strain Puerto Rico chromosome 5, complete genome